rnacentral:rRNA from 1 species
UACGUAGGGUGCAAGCGUUAAUCGGAAUUACUGGGCGUAAAGCGUGCGCAGGCGGUUAGCCGUGUCCGAUGUGAAAGCCCCGGGCUCAACCUGGGAAUGGCAUUGGAAACUGGCUGGCUGGAGUGUGGCAGAGGGGGGUGGAAUUCCACGUGUAGCAGUGAAAUGCGUAGAGAUGUGGAGGAACACCGAUGGCGAAGGCAGCCCCCUGGGCCAACACUGACGCUCAGGCACGAAAGCGUGGGGAGCAAACAGG